rnacentral:misc_RNA from 1 species
GAAAUGCGAUAAGUAAUGUGAAUUGCAGAAUUCAGUGAAUCAUCGAAUCUUUGAACGCACAUUGCGCCCGGUGGUAAUCCGCCGGGCAUGCCUGUUCGAGCGUCAUUUAAGCCCUCGAGUCCCCCCGGGGGCUCGGCGUUGAGGAUCUGCAGCGGCCCGGCCCUGCAGUUCUCGAAAUUCAUUGGCGAACCCGCCGCUGUCACCCCCUGCGUAGUAGCUUUGUUUCUCGCAUAGGGUGCCGGCGGAGCUCUGCCGUAAAACCCCAACUAUUCUAGUUUGGUUGACCUCGGAUCAGGUAGGGUUACCCGCUGAACUUAA